AUUGCCAUGGAGACAGGACACUAUAGUGUUGGGAAAACAGCUUUGUAUUCCUAACACUUUUGUGUUCCUUUUUUAAUAGCUUUUUUAAAAAAUCAUCUAUGUCAUUCCUGUCACAGAACAACUGUUGAUCAAUCAGUUUUUGUCUUCUUAUCUAUAGAGAUCCCAAUGGACCGAGUCUCGUAAAAUGGCCAAGAUAUCAAGAAAAUGAAGCCUACAUGCAACUUGACUUGGAACAGAAACUCUUAGAAAAGUAUAAAGCAGACAGGUUUGUUUUCUGGACCAAGACUCUUCCAGAGACUAUUCUAAAAAUGUCAGAGGAACAAAGUGAAGAACGUGAAGAACUGUAGAUUUUGAUACAAUACAGCUGUCACC